CUACGGGCUGCACCAGUGGGGGAUAUUGCACAAUGGGGGAAACCCUGAUGCAGCAACGCCGCGUGAAGGAAGACGGUUUUCGGAUUGUAAACUUCUAUCAGCUGGGAAGAAAAUGACUGUACCAGACUAAGAAGCCCCGGCUAACUACGUGCCAGCAGCCGCGGUAAUACGUAGGGGGCAAGCGUUAUCCGGAUUUACUGGGUGUAAAGGGUUCGUAGGCGGUUAUUUAAGUCAGAUGUGAAAGCCCGAGGCUCAACCUCGGGACUGCAUUUGAAACUGGGUAACUAGAGUACAGGAGAGGAAAGCGGAAUUCCUAGUGUAGCGGUGAAAUGCGUAGAUAUUAGGAAGAACACCAGUGGCGAAGGCGGCUUUCUGGACUGUAACUGACGCUGAGGAACGAAAGCGUGGGGAGCGAACAGGAUUAGAUACCCCCGUAGUC
rnacentral:rRNA from 1 species